AGCAGCCGCGGUAAUUCCAGCUCCAAUAGCGUAUAUUAAAGUUGUUGCAGUUAAAAAGCUCGUAGUUGAAUUUCGGGGUUAGUAGGUUGGUCAUGCCUCUGGUAUGUACUGGUCUCACUGAUUCCUCCUUCCUGAUGAGCCGUAAUGCCAUUAAUUUGGUGUUGCGGGGAAUUUGGACUGUUACUUUGAAAAAAUUAGAGUGUUUAAAGCAAGCUAACGCUUGAAUACAUUAGCAUGGAAUAAUGAAAUAGGACGUUCGAUCCUAUUUUGUUGGUUUCUAGGAUUGACGUAAUGAUUAAUAGGGAUAGUUGGGGGCAUUAGUAUUCAAUUGUCAGAGGUGAAAUUCUUGGAUUUAUUGAAGACUAACUACUGCGAAAGCAUUUGCCAAGGAUGUUUUCAUUAAUCAAGAACGAAAGUUAGGGGAUCGAAGACGAUCAGAUACCGUCGUAGUCUUAGCCAUAAACUAUGCCGACUAGGGAUCGGAUGAUGUUAAUUUUUUAAUGACUCAUUCGGCGCCUUACG
rnacentral:rRNA from 1 species